GCAGCUCAAUUGGUGGAGCAUGAGACUCUUAAAUCUCAGGGUCUUGGGUUCGAGCUCCACGUGGGGCA